GAACCCUUCGGGGGGACGUUGACGGAAUGAGCGGCGGACGGGUGAGUAACACGUAAAGAACCUGCCCUCAGGUCUGGGAUAACCACGAGAAAUCGGGGCUAAUACCGGAUGGGUCAUCGGACCGCAUGGUCCGAGGAUGAAAGGCGCUCCGGCGUCGCCUGGGGAUGGCUUUGCGGUGCAUUAGCUAGUUGGUGGGGUAACGGCCCACCAAGGCGACGAUGCAUAGCCGACCUGAGAGGGUGAUCGGCCACACUGGGACUGAGACACGGCCCAGACUCCUACGGGAGGCAGCAGUAGGGAAUCUUCCACAAUGGACGAAAGUCUGAUGGAGCAACGCCGCGUGAACGAUGAAGGCCCUCGGGUCGUAAAGUUCUGUUGUAAGGGAAGAACAAGUGCCGCAGGCAAUGGCGGCACCUUGACGGUACCUUGCGAGAAAGCCACGGCUAACUACGUGCCAGCAGCCGCGGUAAUACGUAGGUGGCAAGCGUUGUCCGGAAUUAUUGGGCGUAAAGCGCGCGCAGGCGGCCUCUUAAGUCUGAUGUGAAAGCCCCCGGCUCAACCGGGGAGGGCCAUUGGAAACUGGGAGGCUUGAGUAUAGGAGAGAAGAGUGGAAUUCCACGUGUAGCGGUGAAAUGCGUAGAGAUGUGGAGGAACACCAGUGGCGAAGGCGACUCU
rnacentral:rRNA from 1 species